rnacentral:rRNA from 1 species
UACGAAGGGGGCUAGCGUUGCUCGGAAUGACUGGGCGUAAAGGGCGCGUAGGCGGCUUGCACAGUCAGGCGUGAAAUUCCUGGGCUCAACCUGGGGACUGCGCUUGAGACGGUGUGGGCUUGAGUGGGGAAGAGGGUCGUGGGAAUUCCCAGUGUAGAGGUGAAAUUCGUAGAUAUUGGGAAGAACACCGGUGGCGAAGGCGGCGACCUGGUCCUUGACUGACGCUCAGGUGCGAAAG